GUCUCUGUGGCGCAAUGGAUUAGCGCUCUGGACUUCUAAUCCAGAGGUUCCGGGUUCGAGUCCCGGCAGGGAUG
rfam:Ciona savignyi cont_34744, whole genome shotgun sequence.